CCUACGGGAGGCAGCAGUAGGGAAUAUUGCUCAAUGGGGGAAACCCUGAAGCAGCAACGUCGCGUGGAGGAUGAAGGUUUUAGGAUUGUAAACUCCUUUUGUUAGAGAAGAUUAUGACGGUAUCUAACGAAUAAGCCCCGGGUAACUCCGUGCCAGCAGCCGCGGUAAUACGGAGGGUGCAAGCGUUACUCGGAUUCACUGGGCGUAAAGAGUGCGUAGGCGGGGUAAUAAGUCAGAUGGGAAAUCCUGUAGCUUAACUACAGAACUGCAAUUGAAACUGUAACUUUGGAGUGUGGGAGAGGUAGGUGGAAUAAGUGGUGUAGGGGUGAAAUGCGUAGAGAUGAAGAAGAAUACUGAUUGCGAAGGCGACCUGCUGGAACAUGACUGACGCUGAUGCACGAGAGCGUGGGGAGCGAACAGGAUUAGAUACCCGAGUAGUC
rnacentral:rRNA from 1 species